AGGCGUGGAAAUGCCCCUAACAAGGGCAUACUAUAUAAAACUCUAAACUUACUGUCUGAGAAGGCCAUGUGCCGUAAUCUUUAAACAUUUUAAAACUUUCAACAACGGAUCUCUUGGCUCUCGUAUCGAUGAAGAACGCAGCGAAAUGCGAUAAGUAAUGUGAAUUGCAGAAUUCAGUGAAUCAUCGAAUCUUUGAACGCACAUUGCGCCCUUUGGUAUUCCAUAGGGCAUGCCUGUUCGAGCGUCACUAACAACCCCAUCACAAAAAGUGUGGUAUUGGCAGAAGUGGGUAGGGCUAGCGGUGCUGGCCCCACUCUGCUGGAAUGAAUAGGCCGGAAAUGUAGACCAUUGUCACAGACUUUCAGAGUAUUUUGAAAUGCUAAAUUAGUUUGUAGGCUUGGUUGGAAUCUAGGCCAUUCGACCCCUAUUCUGUGUAAAGCAGUAAUGUUGACCUCGGAUCAGGUAGGAAUACCCGCUGAACUUAAGCAUAUCAAUAAGCGGAGGAAAAGAAACCAACAGGGAUUGCCUUAGUAACGGCGAGUGAAGCGGCAAAAGCUCAAAUUUGAAAUCUGGCACCUCAGGUGUUCGAGUUGUAAUUUGGAGAGGCAUCUUCUGGAGGGGCCCAGCCUAUGUGCCUUGGAACAGGACGUCAUAGAGGGUGAGAAUCCCGUACUUGGCUGGAUGUUCCCUCCUGUAUGUAGUGUCUUCUACGAGUCGAGUUGUUUGGGAAUGCAGCUCAAAAUGGGUGGUAAAUUUCAUCUAAAGCUAAAUAUUGGCGAGAGACCGAUAGCGCACAAGUAGAGUGAUCGAAAGAUGAAAAGCACUUUGAAAAUAGAGUCAAACAGUACGUGAAAUUGUUGAAAGGGAAGCGCUUAGGACCAGACUCAGCC
rnacentral:rRNA from 1 species